CAGUGUUCACAGGAGACAGAACCUCUGACCUCGCUCUUUUAUUAACAGAAAAGUGUGUCCGCACUUGGUGUUCGGUGGCCCACGCCGGGGCCUACUCAGUGCAGCCCGCCCCUGUUCCCGCCUGGAGUUUGGGGUUAUCAAGCCCCGGCUGGCGUCUUCUGGGGCUCAGGAUGCCGGGGCAGCCCAAGCCGAGGGCCCGGCAGCGCUGGGGGGCCGGGCGGGGCCUAUCUGGCCCAUGAGGAUCUGUACCAGCAGGUCGGUGGCCAGCACAUGCGAAGGCUCCUCGAAGCCGAUGGGCGCGGUAAAAUGAGUUCCAGUCAUUGGUGGAGUUCUGUCCUACCCUCCCUCCGACCUCAAGCCCACGUGGCCAUCGCUGGCAUCCUACCAUGAAUCAAGGUCAUCCUCUGCCGGUCCUAGGGGCAUCCAGCGGCCGAUGGACCAGAGUUUCUGGAUUUGGGGGCACGAAUUGGCUGGACCCUGGCCUGCAUCCUCCCAUGUAUCUCGAUAACAUAAGAAGUAGCUGAGAGAGAAAUCAGAAGGAAAAGCAGUGCCCUCAAUUUUUCUGCUGAGGGCUUUCUUUCUGGAGGUGAGGGUUCAAGUUCAUCUGUCAGAAGUUGCCUUAAGUUCUCAGGUGGGGAUGUGGGGAUGUGCCUAGGACUUUCCUCCCUGGCGGCCCAAUCUGAAGGUGAAGGUGGAGUUAAGAAAAACUCAGUGGUGUGCAUUGCUGGCCUAGCAGAUGCAAGGUCCUGGGUGUUGUCCCAGCAAUGCAAAAGGUGUUCAUUUUUCUGUCUCGCUUUUCACUCUCUGGUGGCGCUGUAGAGGCUCAAGCUGACAUUCAACAUAGGAUGGGGAAGGAUUUUGGUUUCGACAAGGAAACUCACUAGUCCACAUGGGAGUCUGUUCCUUGGCUACUGGCCUCUGUGGUGGUUUCCAGGUUCCAGCGCAUCUUCUUAUAGAGGUACCUCGGGAAGUGACUGGCAGUGUACGCAGCUGGGGUGCAGUACCGGAAGAUGGACACAUCGUGGGAAGGGCUAAUGGAGAACCUCCCGCAGAAGAAGCAGGAAAUGCUAACAGGAGAUAGAGAGUGGACAGCAAGCUGGGCCCUGGCUUCUGCCACCCCACAACUCAUUCCCUGCCCCCUUACCUCAAAGGGUUGGUUUCCUCCAGGUCCACGAACCCGAAGGAAGCAUACAUGAGAACUAGCUGUUCCAAGCGCAGGGUGAGCUGCUGGGAGAUCUCCAGCAACUGCAUGGAAGGCGGGAGACUUCCUGACCUCAGAGGGUCGGCCAGAAGCCACCCUCCCAUCCCUAGGCAGAGCCCCAAGGAGAUGGGACCUGGUAAGGUACACACCCCCUUCCGGACCAGCUCCUGCAGGGCUCCGUAGAUGGGAGGGACACUCCUGGCGGCAGCCUCAAGGUACAGGAAAUAAGGUUCGCACAUCGUUAGGAAGGUGGGCAUGGCCUUGGCUAGCUGUUCCUUCUGUACGCGGUCCCUGCUGAAGGGAGAAAGGGGCCUUCACGUGACAUCACUCUCCCUCCAUCCCCAGGUGCCCCAUGCUUACCACCUGUAUCCCCAGAGCCAGCUUAGCGUCAGCGCGCUUGCAUAGCCCAGGCGGAGCCCUUGGUUCCAUCCCCCCCAGCCCCGCACCCAAAAUCAAACAUAAAAAGAGGGACUGGGAGGUUGUUACUGAUCAAGACUGGGCCUCGACACAGGUGGGGCUUUAGACUUCAGCGCUCGCAUAAGAAAGAUCCCCCGGUGUCAAGUCUUUCUCCCCUUCGUCUUUCAGAACCACCUGCAUCCGUCCUUUAGGACAUUUAUUAAAAUGCUGACACCUGGGCCGGGAGUGCCCCGCCGUGGCCCAGGGCUUGCCUAACACAAGGGUCUAGGUUCCCUCCCCGGUGUGUUUCGGGGUGCAUGCAACUGCCGAGUGGGGCUCAGAAAGCUGGGGGUUAAGCCAGCCUCCGACAGACCGACAAUCCCUUUUCCCUGGUCCAGAAACUGGAUCUUUCCUUGGGAGUGGAGUAUGGCCUCCCACAUUGGAAGUUCUCUGGCCAGAGUUAAUGCAAAUAGAUUUUGUUAGGCUGACUUACAAUGGGUUUUUUAAAAAAUCCAAGUGAGCAUUUCAAAUUUGGUAGGCAGUACUCAGUAGACUGAGGCAGGAGGGUCGCCAAUUCAAACGUGAUGAGAUACUAAAAAAAAUCGGCCAACUCAACCAACAAACCAAAAACAAAAUUGUGAAAGACUGGCGCUUGGUGUCCCCAAAGCCCACACAUUGCCUGCCUCUCAAUUCUCCACAGCCCUCGGCAUACUAGUAGAGUGUAUUCCUGAUCAGCUAGCCGUGAGUCGGUUUUUGCUCCUGGUGAGAGCUGUACAGCCUGUCCUCCUGUCCUGGAACCUGCGCCCCUGCACCCCUGCCCCCUGCACUUGGUCACCUGUAGAGCAAGUAGCUUUGAAAGUCAUCCGCCUUCCUAAGCAGAUAUCGCAGCUGGUCAGUGAUGGGGCUGAACAUGGAGUCCAGUGGGAGGCGAGCAGGUCCGAGUUCCUCUGCCAGUGGCUCCCUGGAGGACGCGGAGGCUGGGGUUUCCAUCAGCUGCUGUGCCCUCUGGGGCUCCUGCUCCGCUGAGGCCUCGGGUCUCCCGGCGGGCGACCACGAGGGGUCUCCAUAGGGCGGCGGCCCGGGUACCAAAUCGUCCGAAGGGGGUGCUUCUCCAGGACCCAGGGCCAGUGACCCGGCGAACCAGGACUCCGCAGCCAUCGGGCAUCCAGCGCAGGCUCCUCCAGCCUCCGCGGAGUCCCAGGAGGGCAGCACACCUGGGGCCGACCGGUCGGGGCAGUGAGCACCGUCACCCCCUCGAACCAGCCUCGACGUCUCUGCCGGCGCCGCCCCGCGAGGCUUUCGCCUCUUUUGAAUUGGAGCACGCGGAAGGCCGCGCAGCCUGAGUCUGCACUGCGCAGAGCUCGGCGGGCACCUGGCGCGCGGGGCAGGGCGAUGCCAAGGGCGGAGCUCCAGACCGGCCUAGUAGACAUCUGCAGGUUGGUGCCUUCUCUCUCCCAGGUCGUUGACCGGGCUGAAGGGGAUUCCUAACAUGUUAGGAAUUGGGGAAGGCGGGUUACCGAGAGGCUUAGGCUCCACCCCAGCCGCUGACCCCCAAGAUCAGAUUCUUCACCGAUGGAGCUGGAAUCUGUCCGUGAACCUACAAGAGACUAGUGACUAGCAGUCACUUCUACAAUAAAGACCCAUCAGACAGUGA